rnacentral:rRNA from 1 species
UACCAGCACCCCGAGUGGUCGGGACGUUUAUUGGGCCUAAAGCAUCCGUAGCCGGUUCUACAAGUCUUCCGUUAAAUCCAUCUGCUCAACAGAUGGGCUGCGGAAGAUACUAUAGGGCUAGGAGGCGGGAGAGGCAAGCGGUACUCAGUGGGUAGGGGUAAAAUCCUCUGAUCCAUUGAAGACCACCAGUGGCGAAGGCGGCUUGCCAGAACGCGCUCGACGGUGAGGGAUGAAGCUGGGGA